UUGGUAAUUAGUUUAAACAAAACAA
rnacentral:tRNA from 1 species